UAUAGGUGUAUUUAUUUACUUUUUUCUUUGAUGAAGAACUUGAGCCUUAAGCAUUAAAAGUUUUCUAGUUUUCUCCUUGCUCCAUAUUUUUUUUCCCAGCACGUUUUUUUUUCCUUUGCUGUCUAUUUUCCUUCUUCGUUUGGUUUGCUUUCUUCCUGCUUUGUUUUGAUUCAUAAUAGCAGAUUAAAGCAAGCAAAUUAUCACUGUUUAAGAAGUUUAAACCAACAUCUUCUUAAUUCAUAUGCAUGCUCUUGGUGCGUUUUUUCUUUUUUUCCAAAAUUUUCUUCCAGCUCAAGCCAGAUAUCACGAGCAGUUACAUCAUACAUGACACUACUUCUAAUUUCUUUUUCCAUGGUUGUAACAAGCCAUCCUCUGAUCACCAAGGCAUUGCAUCUUUUCCAGUUCAUCAAUUCUCAUCAUGAAGGAGGUUGCUCCUACAAAGUUUUGUUCGGGAUGAUCUGUUGCUGUGAGGAAGUAAGGAGAG